rnacentral:rRNA from 1 species
GGCUACCGCUAUUGGAGUUCGAUUAAGCCAUGCGAGUCGAGAGUCUUAGGGACUCGGCGUACCGCUCAGUAACACGUGGGUAACCUGCCCUAUGCUGGGGAAUAACCUCGGGAAACUGAGAAUAAUGCCCCAUAGUCCACAAUGCCUGGAACGGUUUGUGGAUCAAAGCUCCGGCGGCAUAGGAUGGGCCUGCGGCGUAUCAGGUUGUAGGGGGUGUAACGUACCCUCUAGCCAUCAACGCGUACGGGUGUUGGGAGACAUAGCCCGGAGAUGGAUUCUGAGACACGAAUCCAGACCCUACGGGGUGCAGCAGGCGCGAAAACUUGGCAAUGCGAGAAAUCGUGACCAGGGAACUCCAAGUGGCUGGGGUAAGACCCAGUCUUUUCUUGACUCUUCAAAGGUCUUGGAAUAAGGGGUGGGUAAGGACGGUGCCAGCCGCCGCGGUAAUACCGGCGCCUCAAGUGGUAGUCGAUUUUAUUGGGCCUAAAACGUCCGUAGCCUGUUUGGUACAUUCGUGGGUAAAUCAACCAGCUCAACUGGUUGAAUUCUGCGAGCACGGCCAGACUUGGGACCGGGAGAGGUGUGGGGUACGCUCAGGGUAGGGGUAAAAUCCUGUCAUCCUGAGCGGACCACCUGUUGCGAAGGCGCCACACUAGAACGGAUCCGACGGUCAGGGACGAAGCCUAGGGGCACGAACCGGAUUAGAUACCCGGGUAGUCCUAGGUGUAAACGCUGUGGACUUGGUGUUGGGGACUCUCCGAGAAUCCUCAGUGCCGAAGCGAAGGUGAUAAGUCCACUGCCUGGGGAGUACGGUCGCAAGGCUGAAACUUAAAGGAAUUGGCGGGGGAGCACCGCAACCUGAGGAUUGUGCGGUUU